rnacentral:rRNA from 1 species
UACGUAGGGUGCGAGCGUUGUCCGGAAUUAUUGGGCGUAAAGAGCUCGUAGGCGGUGUGUCACGUCGGCCGUGAAAACCUGCAGCUUAACUGUGGGCUUGCGGUCGAUACGGGCAUCACUGGAGUUCGGCAGGGGAGACUGGAAUUCCCGGUGUAGCGGUGAAAUGCGCAGAUAUCAGGAGGAACACCGGUGGCGAAGGCGGGUCUCUGGGCCGAUACUGACGCUGAGGAGCGAAAGCGUGGGGAGCGAACAGG